GUGGGGAAUCUUCCGCAAUGGACGAAAGUCUGACGGAGCAACGCCGCGUGAGUGAUGAAGGUCUUCGGAUUGUAAAGCUCUGUUAAUCGGGACGAAAGAGCCUAGUGUGAAUAAUGCUAGGAAGUGACGGUACCGGAAUAGAAAGCCACGGCUAACUACGUGCCAGCAGCCGCGGUAAUACGUAGGUGGCAAGCGUUGUCCGGAAUUAUUGGGCGUAAAGCGCGCGCAGGCGGAUCUGCCAGUCUGUCUUAAAAGUUCGGGGCUUAACCCCGGGAUGGGAUGGAAACUACAGAUCUAGAGUAUCGGAGAGGAAAGUGGAAUUCCUAGUGUAGCGGUGAAAUGCGUAGAUAUUAGGAAGAACACCAGUGGCGAAGGCGACUUUCUGGACGAAAACUGACGCUGAGGCGCGAAAGCCAGGGGAGCGAACGGGAUUAGAAACCCGUGUAGUCC
rnacentral:rRNA from 1 species